UUUCAAAACAACACAAGCCAAACCCAACAUUGAGAAACAGUGUACCAGACUGACACAACGUUGCACACGUUGUGUUUUGUCUUGUGAGUAAACAUGAUGAUAGCAGAUCCUUUUAGACCACGACCGGUGCCAAAGCUAACAUGGGCCGCGGCUGUGCCCUUUCCACGCUCUACUUGGAUCCACCCAUACGUACCGGAGGACGACUUUGACCGUGUUUCCUACACGAUAUGGAAGAACGCACAGAGACAGGGUACUGGUGUGCUGCGGACGAGGACGACGAAGGAGGUUGAAGUAGACAGAGAUCAACGCUCUCUCGCGACACCCUGCAGCGAACGCUGUACUGUAGGAGCAGAGGACCAGGAAGGACGGGUCAAGAGGGAAGCAGAAGAGAUGUUGUCCAUGGUUCGCCAAGAGUUGGAGGACCUGUAUUCAGACAAAAGUAAGGAGUCACAAGGAUGGGAAGAUGAGCUGAGCAGAAUAGAGAUCCCGGGGGCCCGCGUCGAGAUGAAAAGAAGCAGCGCUGGGAUUCUGCUCAAGGGGGUGAAACAGAUUUGUGUGGACGGAAGCAGCCAGCCUACCAGCGCAGAGUCUCUGAUCCCGUUACGUCCGUUCACCCGAGGGAGGUCCCUUCACCCCGCCGCCCUCCCCGAGGCCUCCACACCUGGGAGGAGCCGUCCCGCCCACCCUGCCGACACAGGUCGCGCCCCCCGACGGGCAGAUCAGCAGGACACUCCCGCCCGUACCUCUCGUGCCUGUCAGACUGAAGGCGUCUACUACAGCAGCGAUAGCGGCGACGAUUCCCACGGGCUCCCGGGCCCGCGUCGCUUGACCGCCGACAGAAGCAGCAACGAAGAAGCGGCGGCUCCCACCUUCGGCAGUGGGCAGUGCCCCUGCGGAGCUUCCGGGCCUCGGCAGAAGCCCGCUACGUGCUAUAGCUCCUUCUGCGACCUAGACCUCCCUUGUCGGCCCCUCCAGCCCGAGGCCUGCGAUGCGGCCCUACCCGAGCCUUCGCCUGUGGCUGCCCAAACAGAUGUCUCCCUCGCUCUACCAACGCCGACGCCCAAUAUCAAACCCUUCCAACCUUUUGAGGUGAGCUCGGGCCGUAAGUGGGAUCCCCAAGCUCUUGAACGAGAAUGCGACCGUCGACUGCUUGCUACCGACCAAAUGGCUUCGGUGUUUCCUGCUGGCGCCCCUGCCGUGGUUCCUCCCGUAUCCAUGUCAGCUCUGGCUUUGGCAAUGAUCCCCGACGACCAAGUGGUGCCCUUUCCCCUCAACCCCCUCGCCCAGUUCCAUGUUCCCGCGGCGUUCAGCACAGCCGCCCCCGCCCCCGCCUUCUUCCCCCCCGUCUGGUGCCGGGUGAAGGCUCCGAUCCAGGGCAGGGCACCAACACCGCGGGCGAGGCUGUCGUCCAAGGUUCCAGCUCCGCGUCAGCAGGGCGCCUACGACCUACUGGCUGACUUCCCCGUACUCCGGCCCCAUAACGUCAAGCGAGGCGUGGGCCCGGCGGCCCAGGUCUGGGGCGCAGACGGGAGGAGGAGGGGCCUGGCGGCGGUGCCGCAGGAUAACCUCAACCAGCAGCCCGGUGGGGACGGAGACAGAGAGCAGGGCAAGGAGCACAGCCAGCCCCUGGUCCCCAGGCCCGUGUGUGAAGGAGGUCAGGGGUUCACGCUGGCCCUGGCUCCCCCACCUCUAGCCAAGCCAGGCCUGAGCAACCUUCCUGUGGCCAAUUGCGGAGGGGCAGUCCACACACAGCCGAUUACAGAGACCGACGCAAGUGUAGGCGUAGACAUGACCAGCACCCGCGUCGACCUCGCCAGCCAUGCAGCUGCCACGCCGGAGAAAGCCGGGGGCAGCGAUACCCAGCGCACGACGGACGCCGGCGGCAAUGUCAAGGGCGAGUCUCCGGCUGCAAAGAAGAAUGCUGCUUGCCAGGCCACACCUCCCUCUAUGGUAGCCAAUCCGUCGAGAGCUCCAUGCCCCCAUGCCGUUCUCCAGCCAAUGAGAUUGGACUUUACCCCCCCAACCCAGCGCCUUCCUCCACGUUUGUAGGCGAACAUAAAAACCCAAGAUGGACCGACUAAGAGAGCCCCCUGCAACUUACCGUCACCCCCCCCCUCCCGCCAUCCCCCAGACCUAAUCUCCAUGGAAAUAGAUGGGGAGGAAACUGGUGGAAACGGCUGAUGUGGGAGACAGAGGGGGGUGUGGGGAGACGUGGAGGAGACAGCAGGGAGGCAAGAGGAAAUAUAAAUGAUUUGCAUUGGCAGCGUUGUCUGCUCUUGUUGAUUUAGGAACCGUGAAUGGGCCUGUUUGUCAAUGAAUAUCAA
ensembl:lncRNA